UCAAUGGACAUUGAGUUUGAGUAAACUCUGGGAAUUGGUGAUGGACCGGGAGGUUCGACAUGCUGCAGUCCAUGGGGUCACAAAGAGUCGGACACGACUGAGCAACUUAACUGAACUGAUCUGAAUGAGCAGAAAGGCUGAGUUGAAGCCCCAGGAAAGGAGUGGGUUGCUGUCCACAUUAGGGCAUGGAAUUUGGAUACCAGGACACAUUCUUCCCAGAUCUGCUUCUCUCACUGAGAGGAGGCUGAGAAUACAGAGAAGAUAAAAGGAAGCAGGUUUCUGCAGGUGCCCACUCCUCUCUUAUUAGGCUUCAUUCAGCUCUAUAAUGCAGGAAUCCCACUUCUAAGGCUGAUGAUGAGGACUGGUGAGCACUGGGUAAGAAAUCAGGAUUCCAGUAUGCCCUGCAACCUACUUGUUCUUGGAUACAAGGUAGGUUAUUCACUCUGCCACCCUGGAUUUCUUAAUCUAUGAAUGUGGGCCAGCUAUACUUCCCUCACGGGUGUUAAAGGGGAAGCACAUGGGAAGAUCUGAGCUCACCAGGUGGCACUGUGAGCAUUUUCUGUAUUGUACAUGGUUGGCUGAAUUCAUGUGUGUGUUUUCCAUGAAACUAUGAGCUCUUUGAAGGCAGGAACCAAGUCUUACUUAUCUUUACUUCCUGAGAGUCUGGAAUAUGAUAGACAAUAAAUAAUAUUCACUGAUAAGAAAAGAAAGAUAUUUAGUGCACAUUUACUAUGAAAAUGAAUUCUGUAAUGCGAAUAAUUCCUGGAGGAAAAACCAUGAAAAGAAUAAAGACAAAAUCAUGGUUUAUUGGUCCCUACGAAGGUUGGGUUUGCCUAUGCAGAUAGGACAUAGGCUACUUCUAAAGCAUUAGCAUGCUAUAAAGCAAUAUGUCAGUAAGUUCUUAUAACAUAGAGCAGGAGAUGUGUGUCACAGUAAUUGGGCAAAGCUUGUUCAUACACAGCUCUUCAUAUAUCCUUUUAAGUAAAUAAAGAAUAUCUUCCAACGACAGAAGUGUUCUCAUAUUUCUCAAGCAUGUUAUUUUCCCACUUCAUCGAGAAAAUUAUAUGAAUUUGACUUUAAUCCACUGGAUAGAAGUUCUUUGAAUUCCAAACACAAAUACAGAAGCACAGUUAUUAGUUUAGCUGAAACAUCUGUUUCCAACUUCCUGAAAGGAAAAGGAGAGGUUGCCAAUGUAUAUAUAUAUAUUUGAAACAGGGUUUAUACUGCAGACAUGGAUACAAUACACAUUUGUAAAAAUUUUCCAAGAGGUCUAAGGUCCAUUUGGUCAGGAGAAAUAAGAUGAUGGAACCAUGUGAUGUAAGAAAAUAAUUACUGCAACCUCCUCCUAGGAAUUCUAGUUUCUAAGAGAGAGUGUCGAGAUCACCACUCAAUGGUCAGUACAAGCCAGAUUCUGGCCAUUUGGUCUGAUGUUUACCUGUGGGUAAUGCACUUCUGAAUGAUUCCAUCUCUCCCAAAAGAAGGAAGAAAAUGUUCUGUUAAUAGUUGGGAUGGGGGGGAAUGACUUUGCAUAUGAAACUAUAGCUCUGAGUUCUGGCAGAUUUUCAUUUACAAAUUUUCUUUAUGCUUUUGGGAAAGGCAUCUCCUCAUUCCAUCCUUCUGGGUCUAAAUUCUUUCACCCGUGAAAUGAAAGACAGUGACAGGAAAUGGAUCAAAGAUUCUGGAUUCCUGAUCUCUUGAAAUGGCUCCUGCCUGACAACUAAAGCCCCAAAGCCAAUAUGAGCUGGUUACAGAGGAAGAGAAGCUGAGAACUCAGAUCAGCAGGUCAGACCAUAAAGGAUCUUCUUACUAUAUCAUGAAGAGCAUUGAAUGAAUGAAUGAAUUUUGGAUAUAGGGACGCACUGCCUAACAUCGUUGAACUUCAGUUUUCUUGUUGAUGAUGAAGAGUAAAUAGAAGGAGACAUCACUACAGAAGAGAUCCAUUGGCCUGGAAAGAUGCUGUCUCUCCCUCCUUACCCUCAUCACAACCCUGUUUGCAAUCUGGCUCAUCCAUCUGACUCCUGCAUAGACAGAAACCAAACCCCUGGAGGCAAGAAUAAAAUACUCCUUCCUGUAUUCUGAGCAUCUAGUCUUUCAAAAAGGGUCUUCCAAAAAGUCUAUGUUUCUGAGUGAAUAAAGAAACAAAUCGUCCCAAAUAGACAUGAAUUCGUCCCUCAUGUUGUCCUUAAGAGAAUUUGUAAGAUUUGAGUUAAAAAAUAUCCAUUGUAAUGUGAGUAUGUUUGUGGUGGGCCCUUUGGGACAUGGCUCCCAGUGUCUCCACCACCUGCCUCCUCUCUGUCCACACUCCUGCGUCAUCACUUCCCCUUAAAACUGGGUUGAAUGCAGUGACGUAAUGUGAAUGAAGAGGGUGUGGCAAAGUAAUGGGGUGAUGCACUGUGGCUUGGUUAUAAAAGAUCAUGACGUCCCUCCCUGGAUCUUUGCACAGGUUGGCUCUGAUGCAGAGGUCACCUGGCCGGGAACUGAGGGAGGCUUCCAUCCAUCACCCAGCUAGAACCCAGAUCCUCAAACUCACAGGCUUAAUGGAGCCAAAUCCUGUCUACAACCACUGAGUGAGUGUGGACGCAGAUCCUCCAGUUGAACCUGGAGAUGACUGUAACCCUCAAUGGCAGCCUUGUGAGAGGCCCCAAAGCAGAUGAGCCACACCUAGGUCACUGAUCUGCCAAACAUACUAGAAAAUACACGAGUAUUGUUUUAAGCCAUUUAUUUUGGAGAUAUUUGUUUAGUAAUAGAUAAAUAAUGAAAUGUUCAUGUUUUGAGUACAAUUAAAAAUUUAGAGAAGGAAUACAUGAAAGAAAUGAUUAGCAUGAUAUAUUUUGUUUUUGCUCUGAUGUGCUGAUCAUGACACAUGGGUUCUGUGUUUGUGGGAGCGCAUGAAACAGCAGCAGGGCAGAGUGAAAAGAACUGAUUUUUUUUUUUUUUUAGAAUGAGUGAAAAAGAACUGAGUGCAAACUUAAGCUCUGCCAGUAAUGGUCUGUUGGAAUUUUGAUUAAUUUCCAAAUUGGUUCAUACCAAUAUUGUGUCUCUCACUACCCUGAGGAUAAAUGGGAGAGUGAACCUGACAAUGAAUUUUGAAUCAUAAGGUUAUAAAGUGCCAGAGCUCAAGGAAAUAUUGUGGUAACCUGAUGUCAUAGAAUUUCUUAAACUCAUUGCAAAUGUUUCUGUAUAGGAGGGUAACAUAUAAACUGAAAAAAACUACAUAAAUAAAAUAAAUAAUCUUUUAAGUGGUAAUCUAUUUUCUAUGUCAUCCUGUACAAGGAAUCCUCUCCAUGUGAUCAGAAUUCUCUUUUAUUUCUCUGACCCAUGACAAAGGAACAGACUCUCUAUCACAGAGAGUCCUCUAAAAGCAGAGUGUUCCUAGGAUAUUUAAAGUGGAAAGAGCUAGUGCCCCAAGGAGAGCAAUGAGCUUUUAUGGGAAAUGACAUUUAGAGUAUGAGAUCUGAUCCUACAUAAUACAAUUUUCUCUUUGAACAGUGACCAAUAAAACUCAAUUCCAUUGUGAUAAUAUUUUUAUUUGCAGUCUAUUUUAGGGUUGUCAUUAAUCAUGUGUUCAGACAGUAACAAGACUCCUAGAAAAGUGAAGAUUUAAAUAUGUGAAUAUGGCCUCCUGAAAAUUACCAAGGCAGUAAAAUUUUACAAAAUAUCUAUAUCGCUAAAAGUGAAUAUUAUUUUUAGUGCCUGGAUUUUAAAAAAUAAGCUUUGCACUUAUAAAUGUAUUUAUUGAAGCACAAGGUAAGUGCAAUUUGCCCUUUCUUGGACAUAAUUUUCUUUUUUUCCAAUCUCCUCCCAUUUUUCUUCUCAACUUAAUGGUGAUCACCUUGAGGCUAUAUGAAAUGAUAAUUGGGAAAGCCAUGACAUUCAUGAAAGACUCUAGAUUUGAGCAGUUUAGUUCAACUGAGACUACAUACUGGGUUUUAGUCACUAAAAUCACUAAAAAUCUCUUUCAAUUGUAAGUGUUACUUUUUGAGAUCUGGUAGCAGCUUGCUUUUCUAAUACUGUAGAACCCUCUAUCUUUGGAUUUUCUCAAUUUUUAUAGACAUCUAUUUGAAAAUCAGUCCUGUUCUUGCCUGAACCUUUUUUUUUUUUUUUUUUUGUAAUACUGUGCUAAGUAAAAUCAAUAUAAUUUGACAUGCAAAUAUUGUAACUUUUUCCAACUAUUUCUUCUAGAGCUACAGAAAUCAAGUUGACUGAGGGCAACCAUUUACUAAAUAUUCUAUCAUAGUAAGUCAAAGUUCUUCACUCUUCCGACCUAAUUUAUCUUUACCUGCCACCCUCAAAUUAGCCACUAAACCAAUACCAAGGUAUCAGCUUCUAUAAUAGUUGUGGGGCAGCAUGUGCUUUUGAAACAAAUAAACCUUCACACCUUAGUAGCUUAACAUUAUAGGUAUUUAUUUUUAAGUUAUAUGAAGUCUAAUAUGGUGUUCUGUGGUGGCUUUCUAAAGAUAAUGUAGGAUCCAUUGCAGUGUCUCUAUUUAGUUUUUCCACUAUAACCUAGGAGAAUGGAGUCCCAUGCACCAGUGGACAAGGAGGAAAGGAUAAGAAACCAUUUGUCAGAAGCUAUUAUAAUACAGGCUGAGAAACAGUAUAUGUCAUGUUCAUCUACAUUUUCAUUGGCUAGAAAUAAGUUACACAUAGUCAUAUGAGCUCUAAUGAAGGCUGGGAAAUGUUAUGUAGCAGUGCGUUCAGGGAUAAGAGGAAAUACAUCUGUGAAUAUCUAGGCAGCCUCUAUCACAUUUACAGAAAAAUAAAUAGCUAACAUGCUAGUCUAUUAAAGGAAGAAAUAGAACUUUACAGUAAACUCAUUAAUCUGACACAGCUCAUUUUUUAUGUGUCUGUCUAAACUCUCCUCUUAGAAUCUGCUGGAAUGAAUCUAGCUGGGGCCUGGCCUGAGCACGGUGGUGAGGAAACUCAUGACAAGUUUAAAAAGAGUGGGACCAAGGAUGUUUGAAUGCUGGUUUCAAAGACCAAAGACAAAUGGACAUCAUGCUGGUCUUUCUAUCAGGGCAUUGGUCAAAAAUGGAUGGGAAGAGACAUGAAAAUCCACUUAGAGACUUCCCUGGUGGCUCAGUGGUAAAGAAUCCACCUGCCAAUGCAGGAGACACAGGAUCAGUCCCUGGACCAGGAAGACUUCUCAUGCUGCAGAGAAACUAAGUCCAUGGAUCACAGCUAUGGAGCCUGUGCUCUAGAGCCUGGGAGCCACAACUACGGAGCUCAUGGGCUGCGAAUGCUAAGGCCUGUGUGCCUAGAACCCGGGCUCAGCAACAAGGGAAGCCAUGGCAAUAAGUCCGUAAACCCGCUCGCCACAACUAGAGAAAAGCCCACAUAGCAUAGCUUAAAACAAAUUAAUGACUUAAAAAAAUAAAAACAACUUUAAAAGUCAAAACUCAGGGUCGAGCGCUCUGAGAAGAAUUGGCUCAGAUGCUAAAGAAUCCACCCGCAAUGCAGGAGACCCAGUUUCGAUCACUGGGUGGGGAAUAUCCGCUGGAGAAGGGAAUGGCAACCCACUCCAGUAUUCUUGCCUGGAAAACUCCAUGGACAGAGGAGCCUGGUGGGCCGCAGUCCAUGGGGUCUCAAGGAGUUGGGCAUAGCUGAGGACUAACACAAAUGAAUGACUAACACUUAAGGAUGCUAAAGAUCAAAAUAUAUGGACUAGGGAUGGAAGAGCAGAGUAGGCAAACGUGUCUGAGAUGCUUCCACAAAGUCCAAGGCCAUUUGAAUUCUUAACUCCUGUUAGAAGUGGGGAAUGAGAUUUUCAGAGCUCUGAGUGCAUCAGGAUAGCACUGGCUGAAAGUGACAGAGCUUUGUUUUCUUCUUUGUAAACAUGUAAUAAAUCCUCAAAACCUAAACGGGGAAUAUGUUCACAAGUACUAGCAUCGCCUUCACUGUCACAUUUUUCCUGGCUUUGCAGAGGUUAAAGGGAUUAUGGCAUGGCAGCUUCCAAGCCUGGAAAAAAGAGGUAAUCAAAUUGGCUCACAUCCCAGGGAAACUGUGAGGUCUUACUCAGCUUGAGUGCCAGCGGAAAGAAGCAUUUUGAAAUGCAAACCGGGAGGGAAAAGUCCAGAAACUCUGUGACCAGGAACUCUCUCUGAGAAGCGACUAAUCAUAGGGUUUCCGCCCAACUCAGAAAGGUUACUCCCCUGGUUUCCUCCUCCAAGUUGUAUAAAAAAAUAGGACAUUGCGCCUCACAUUGUAUUUUUACCCUGACCUUGCCAGUCAUCCGGACAAGAUUUAAGAAAUGCAGGAGGAGUGGUCACUGCCUGACCAUGGGCUGUGGAACAGCAUAAAGAGGAAAGAAGCCUGCAGUGGGGAUCCAAGGACCCUAACUGGAGUCCAGGCCAACCAGUGUUUGGCCAGCGGCCAGUCACUUGACCUCGCAGAGCUUUAGCUCUUCCAUCUCUAAGAUGUUUACAGGAUAUUCCUCAAGAACAAGGACAGUAUUACCUUUCCUAUGUGUCCUCAGGCUCAGUGCAAAUACUCAGUAAAUUGAGAUUAUAAACAAGGAAACAAACAAAUGAUGUUCCAGAUCAUGGAUGUGUUGGUGUUUGGAUUACAGUAAGAUUAUUCAUAAGACUUUUAAUACAGUUAUCAUAUACAUGUUCUACAAGUUAGUAUUCCAUUAAACUUGAUCCUUAUAAAGGCAGGUUCCAUGAGGGAUAGCGGUUUAAUCAAUUGUCUAUCCCUAUCUACGUCUUCUCUUUCUACAGAAUUCCUUAAACCCAAGCAACGAGCUCUGGGUGGAUGGCAGGCAGGCACAGAGCUGUGCACUCUGAGAAGACUUGGAUCAGAUGAUAAAGAAUCCACCUGCAAUGCAGGAGACCCAGUUUCGAUCCCCAGGUUGGGAAGAUCCCUUGGAGAAGGGAAUGGCUACCCCCUCCAGUAUUCUUCCCUGGAAAAUCCCAAGGACAGAGGAGGCCGGUGGGCUACAGUUACGGUCUACGGGGUCGCAAGAAGUUGGACAUGACUGAGUGACUAACACUCACUUUCAGCUGGAGAGUAAACCAGUACCCUCUCGUCUGUGAGAAGCCCUUCUGUCCUCUUUGGAGGGCUGUGCAGCUCUGUGACAGGCACUCAGUAAGAAGGGAAAAGGUCUGAUAGGGUCCUCCUGCCCUCAUUGUCAUUCUGCAUCAGGUUCCCAACUAUAUCACCCUUGACUCAGGGACCUCAACCUGGGGCUCUGUAAUAACCUAGAGGGGUGGGAUGGGGACAGAAGUGCAGGGAUGUUCAAGUGGGAGGUGACAUGGGUAAACCUAUGGCUGAUCCGUGUUGAUGUUUCGUAGAAA